GACAGAGGUGCCGAGCGUUAGGCGGAAUCACUGGGCUUAAAGCGUGUGUAGGCGGGUCCGUAAGUACCUUGUGAAAUCCCACGGCUCAACCGUGGAACUGCUCGGUAUACUGCGGGCCUUGAGCCAGCUAGGGGCAACCGGAACAAGCGGUGGAGCGGUGAAAUGCGUAGAAUAUCGCUUGGAACGCCGAUGGUGAAAACAGGUUGCUGGGGCUGCGCUGACGCUGAGACACGAAAGCCAGGGGAGCGAACGGG
rnacentral:rRNA from 1 species